rnacentral:rRNA from 1 species
AACGAACGCUGGCGGCAGGCUUAACACGUGCAAGUCGAGCGCCCCGCAAGGGGAGCGGCAGACGGGUGAGUAACGCGUGGGAAUCUGCCCAUCUCUACGGAAUAACGCAUGGAAACGUGUGCUAAUACCGUAUACGUCCUUCGGGAGAAAGAUUUAUCGGAGAUGGAUGAGCCCGCGUUGGAUUAGCUAGUUGGUGGGGUAAAGGCCUACCAAGGCGACGAUCCAUAGCUGGUCUGAGAGGAUGAUCAGCCACACUGGGACUGAGACACGGCCCAGACUCCUACGGGAGGCAGCAGUGGGGAAUAUUGGACAAUGGGCGCAAGCCUGAUCCAGCCAUGCCGCGUGAGUGAUGAAGGCCCUAGGGUUGUAAAGCUCUUUCACCGGUGAAGAUAAUGACGGUAACCGGAGAAGAAGCCCCGGCUAACUUCGUGCCAGCCGCCGCUGUAAAAC